rnacentral:lncRNA from 1 species
GACCCACUACUUCAUAAAUAAGCUCUCAGCCAAUUCUUAUUUUCUUACACAAACCCCUCCAUCCCAAGCUCCAUCUACAGAGGUAUCUGUCAAAUUCCAGAGCUUUUCAGCUUGCUGCAAAGGAAGAUUGGGUUGGUUUUCACCACUGCCUGGAUUUCUCGUUGCCAGGCUACUGCUGGUCAACAAGUCCUUUCAGCGUCUUCAUUCCCCUCCCUUGACCAUAUGGGAACUUCUGGAUCCCUGCCUGCCGUGGACAGGAGGCUUGUUUCAGGCCUACCUCUCAAGCUCCUCUGUCUGCAAAAAUGCAUUUAUAAAAGGAUAAAGGAGGACCCGCAGAAUCAUCAGGAGCACUCAGCUUCCAGGAAUAAGAUCCAGAACCUCAGAACCGGCUUGACGAGGAAAUAGAAGCUGCUACCAACGCUCCUGCCCCUGUUCUGCCAAUGCUCCUCUGGGGCAGGAACUCAUCCUGCAGCUACUAGUAAACCAUGAUCCCCAUGGAAGCUGGUCUCUGCCACCAUUCAUGCCAACAGACCUGCCUCCUGCAGGUAAUCCAUGCCAUCCAAUUGCACACUUCUGAGCUGGAGUCUUGCUUGCCUGGGUUUGAUCUGAUGAGUGCAUGUGGCAGGCCUGCAUCCUACCUACCAGGGAGGCUGGGCUUUGAGUUUUCUGUGUUCUGGCUUUGGAUGGUGUGACUAUUGAGGCUGGAAAUUUGCAAAAUACAGCAAAGGCAUUCAA